rnacentral:rRNA from 1 species
GGCGUGGAUGAGGCAUGCAAGUCGAACGGAAUAAAACUUCGGUUUUAUUUAGUGGCGGAAGGGUUAGUAAUACAUAAAUAAUCUGCCUUUAACUUGGGAAUAACGGUUGGAAACGAUCGCUAAUACCGAAUGUGGUGUGUUUAGGCAUCUAAACAACAUUAAAGAAGGGGACCUUCGGGCCUUUCGGUUAAAGAAGAGUUUAUGCGAUAUCAGCUUGUUGGUGAGGUAAAAGCUCACCAAGGCUAUGACGUCUAGGCGAAUUGAGAGAUUGAUCGCCAACACUGGGACUGAGACACUGCCCAGACUCCUACGGGAGGCUGCAGUCGAGAAUCUUUCGCAAUGGGCGAAAGCCUGACGAAGCGACGCCGCGUGUGCGAUGAAGGCUCUAGGGUUGUAAAGCACUUUCGCUUGGGAACAAGAAAGAAUAGCUAAUAUCUAUUCAAUUUGAGCGUACCAGGUAAAGAAGCACCGGCUAACUCCGUGCCAGCAGCUGCGGUAAUACGGAGGGUGCUAGCGUUAAUCGGAUUUAUUGGGCGUAAAGGGCGUGUAGGCGGGAAGGUAAGUUAGUUGUUAAAUCUCGAGGCUCAACCUCGAACAAGCAGCUAAUACUAUCUACCUAGAGGAUAGAAGGAGAAAAGGGAAUUCCACGUGUAGCGGUGAAAUGCGUAGAUAUGUGGAAGAACACCGGUGGCGAAGGCGCUUUUCUAUUUUAUUCCUGACGCUGAGGCGCGAAA